UACGGAGGAUCCAAGCGUUAUCCGGAUUUAUUGGGUUUAAAGGGUGCGUAGGCGGAUGAAUAAGUCAGUGGUGAAAGCCUGCAGCUUAACUGCAGAACUGCCAUUGAUACUGUUUAUCUUGAAUAUAGUUGAGGUGGGCGGAAUAUGACAUGUAGUGGUGAAAUACUUAGAUAUGUCAUAGAACACCGAUUGCGAAGGCAGCUCACUAAGCUAUGAUUGACGCUGAGGCACGAAAGCGUGGGUAGCAAACAGGAUUAGAUACCCUGGUAGUCCACGCCCUAAACUAUGAUCACUCGAUGUUGGCGAUACACAGUCAGCGUCUAAGGGAAACCAUUAAGUGAUCCACCUGGGGAGUACGACCGCAAGGUUGAA
rnacentral:rRNA from 1 species